rnacentral:rRNA from 1 species
GAUGAACGCUGGCGGCGUGCCUAAUACAUGCGAGUCGAGCGAACAGACGAGGAGCUUGCUCCUCUGACGUUAGCGGCGGACGGGUGAGUAACACGUGGAUAACCUACCUAUAAGACUGGGAUAACUUCGGGAAACCGGAGCUAAUACCGGAUAAUAUAUUGAACCGCAUGGUUCAAUAGUGAAAGACGGUUUUGCUGUCACUUAUAGAUGGAUCCGCGCCGCAUUAGCUAGUUGGUAAGGUAACGGCUUACCAAGGCAACGAUGCGCAGCCGACCUGAGAGGGUGAUCGGCCACACUGGAACUGAGACACGGUCCAGACUCCUACGGGAGGCAGCAGUAGGGAAUCUUCCGCAAUGGGCGAAAGCCUGACGGAGCAACGCCGCGUGAGUGAUGAAGGUCUUCGGAUCGUAAAGCUCUGUUAUUAGGGAAGAACAAAUGUGUAAGUAACUAUGCACGUCUUGACGGUACCUAAUCAGAAAGCCACGGCUAACUACGUG